rnacentral:lncRNA from 10 species
GCCAGGUAGGGGCCAACCCAGCCCAGCCUCAGCUCCUCCUCCGACCAGGUGGCUGCUCCUGCAGAGGAGGGGUUCCCUGACCUGCCCUCACUUGGGCGUCCUGGGACUGCCAGGUGGGCGGCGAGUGGGGCUGUUACAGCGCAGUUUCCUCUGUCUGGUCACCCGCAGCCCCGCCCCCCACUGUGUCCACGCCUUCCACUGUGACCCCGCCCUCCCGCCGCAGCCAGCCCUCCAAGCUGUGACCCCGCCCUCCAGCCGCAGCCCCGCCCUCCCUGCUGUGCCCCGCACUCCAGCGUGUGCUCCGCCCUCCAACCACGUGCUCCGGCCUCUGCAGGGCGGCCCUGUCGCUCCACCCGCGGGCUCAGGACUAGAGACACAACAGUGAGGGAAGGGACGGAGGCAGCGCUGAGGGCAGUACAGCCACAUGGGCCGGCCACUGCCCUUGCACACAUCAGCCGCCUGCUCCGUGGCGUCAUCCCGGCUCCAGUCCAGCUUCCCCACUCUCUGAAGUGCAAGCUGAUCUGCCACCCCGUUGCACAGAGCCCUGUCCCCGGGGUCUGGUUUCAGUCCCUACCCAGCUGCACCCUCCCGCCCCUUCCUCAGGGCCUGCAUCUCGGCCCUGCACCUGGACCGCCAACGUUCCAGGACGGCCCACAAUUUUCUUUUUUUUUUUUUCUUGAAAUGGAGUCUCGCUCUGUCGCCCCGGCUGGAGUGCAGUGGCGCAGUAUCAGCUCACUGCAACCAACGCCUCCCAGGUUUAAGUGAUUCUCGUGCCUCAGC